ensembl:lncRNA
CAGAGAAUUGCUACUUUGUGCUGCUGCUGCUGCUGCUAAGUCGCUUCAGUCGUGUCCGACUCUGUGCGACCCCAUAGAUGGCAGCCCACCAGGCUCCGCCGUCCCUGGGAUUCUCCAGGCAAGAACGCUGGGGAAGAAAGUGGUUAUUUUGAAUGCCUGCAAAAUGCAAAUAAAGAGACUAUGGAUAUUUGGGGAGUUCACACAUACUAAGUCUAAAGCAUCUUUGAUUUAAAAAUGGAAAAUUGGCAAGCGAUUCAUCAACACUGGCCUCUAAUUGCUUUUACUGCCUUCACAAAAUAAAGAUGCUAUUUUAAUGGCAGAGAUGUUUCCCUUUGGCAAGUGGCUCUGGGGUAGGCACAGUAAGUACAGGGAUAUUUUCCUCUGAAUAUACAAUCUGCAUCUUCAGUUCUGCAUGCCUGUGAUUGACAGCAGGCAUUUUAAUCUCAAAAAAUGUUUUCCAAACUGCCUAAACAUAUGCUUGCAUGUUAAUAGUUAUUGCAUGGUAUUAGAUGGAAAAUACACACAAACUUUAAAAAAAAAAAUUGUUAACUCCGUGCAUGGCCACACAAUGGAAUAUAAUGGAAACCAGAGAAGCAGAGGACUUGUGUCAUUUUACAGGCAAGGCAAAAAUCAAAUAAAAUAAAAAAGAAGAAAGGAAAAAAGAAACCUUUAACAAUUUAGUCAUGUUAAAAUUAGGAGACAAUACUGAUAAAAGAAAACACACCCAACAUUAAGGCAGCAUAGUCCUCCUCCAUCACAGCAGGUCUAGACAGCUCCCACAGCUGUGUCUGCUCUCUCCACAAGUAAUGUGUGGCCCUAGCUGGAGGGUAGCAUGAGCUCAGGAGGGAACAUCAGCAUAGGGUCUUAACUAACUUCCUUCUGUUGCAGGCGUGUCUGUAUCACAGUGUGGUUUUGCAUCUUCUCUGAAGCAGCCUAGUGGGAGGGCCUUAGGUGCACCACACCUUGGCUCACCAAAACACAGGGUUCCUCAUCUUCCUGAGACAACAGGUGGUCCCUUCCUGGGAGAGCAAUCUGAGACUCUGCUUGCCCUUUGGGCCAGAUUUCAACCUUUUGAGGUUUUUUUCCUGGUUCUGAAGGAGAUUCCCUGUUUUACUUGAUGUAGUGUUUUGUCGAGACUAUGCUUGGGGUGUGUCUCAAUGUAGCCCCAGGUGGGACUGAGGCUGGAAGGCAAUGGGUCAUUUUCUCCAUACCUGAUGGCUCUAGCUGUUCUCAACUCUCAGGAAAAAAUCAGCUCUCCUCCCCAUGUCCCCAGGAAUGAAGGUGAUAGAUAUCUUCCGGUUCUAAAUGUAGACAUCAAAAUGCCUGACAAGAAGAGACUGAUGUCAAGCAGGGCCUGUGAGGCUCCCGGGCAUGGAGGUCUUUUUGUCUCCCAUUCCUUGUAGGCAUGGAGAAGGCACUGGUGACCCACUCCAGUACUCUUGCCUGGAAAAUCCCGUUGACAGAGGAGCCUGGUAGGCUGCAGUCCAUGGGGUCGCUAACAGUCAGACACGAUUGAGCGACUUCACUUUCACUUUUCAGUUUCAUGCAUUGGAGAAGGAAAUGGC